rnacentral:lncRNA from 1 species
CCACUGAUCUUUAACUAUCUCUAUAGUUCUGCCUUUCCCAGAAUGUCCUUUGGUUGGAAUCAUAUAGGAUGUUGUCUUUGCAGAUUGUCUUAUUUCACAUGGUGUUAUGCAUUUAAGUUUCCUCCGUGUCUUUUCAUAGCUUGAUAGUUCAUUGCCCUUUAGUUUUGAUUAAUAUUCUGUUGUCUGGAUCUGCCACAAUUUAUUUGUUCGUUCACUUAUUGAAAGGCAUCUCGGUUGUUUCCAAGCUUUGGCAAUUAUGCAUAAAGUUGCCAUAAACAUCUGUCAAAAGGUUUUCAUGUGGAAUAUAGUUAAAUUCUAAAUAUCAAAUAAUAAGGCAACUAGAUUGGUUUCAUUCUAGCAAAAAACUAAUUUAAUGACAAAAUGUCUAUCUAUUUAAAACUUUAUAAUUUUUAUUAGUGUCUGUUCAAAGAAAAUGAUUUGCAAACAAUGUUGGUUAUUUACCUAUAGUGUCAGGAUAAACUCAUCAGAUUUAAAAACAAAAAUUAAAGACUUUUAUUUUACUAACAAAGAGAGACUUGAGUAGAAUUGUGUUGUUGGAUUCUAAUUUUUUUUAAGGUCAUGUGGAUUCAAUACUAACAUUUCCAUGCUUUGUUUCUACUUUCCCAAGUUUUUCAACCCAUUGUUUAUUAGAAGUCUCCAUAUUUAACAAAAAUAGUGAAAUAUGACAAAUAGCCUACCAUAUUUGAACUUUUGAACAACCAAUGCCAUUAUUCCGGUUAGUAUCUCAUAUCUCAGAGAGAGUUGGAGCCUAUAAGUAGAUAUAUUUUUUCUAUGACUAUUUCUAAUAUAGGCCAAAAAAAUAAGAAAUUAAUUAUUUUUCAACCAAUAAUUGUUUUUCCAAAAGUCCACAGGAGGGUAAUUAACAUGUUCAUUAGCAUCUUUAUUAUUUCUCAUUACAUAAGAAUAUAUGCGCAUUUUGGAAAAUUUAUAAAAAAUAUUAUUUUAUCUAUAUAAAGCCCAACAGAUAAAAUGUUAUGUUUCUGGAGUUCCCUGGUGGCCUAGCAAUUAAGGAUCUGAUGUUGUCACUGCAGUGGCUCUGGUUGGAUCCCAGGAAUUUCCACAUUCUGGGGGCAUGGCCAAAAAUGUUGUUAUGUUUCAUUGCUCCAUACUCUUGUUUCCCAUAGUCACCAUUUUUUAUGUAUUUCUAUAUUCAGAACCCUCUUAAAUAAGGCACCUUUUGAUCUAUGUAAAGUAUGAAUCUUACUUCUAUUCUAGAUGAGUUUUUUAAGUUAAUCUCACUUUUUAAUUUUCAUUUUGACUAAAUGUAUUAAAACAUAAAGAUAAAGUCUCUACUGCCUCAAACUGAAAUUAAGUAGAUUUAUUUGCCCCUGAAGGUAGGAACAACAAGGUAGACUCUGUUACCAAGCCAUGCAAAGCCUUCUCUGGAAGGUGGUUAUUUUCCUCAGGUUUCCUGUUCUGAAACUGUCACAUGGUAUACAAGGUCUUAAUCUAGUCCAACAGUGACAUUUACAAAUUCACGUUUCACGGUUUCCAAUAAGUACUUUGCAAUUCAAUCUUAUUACACUUCUUAGAGAAUGACGUUUUUCUCCCACGCUGUACCCUACACCAUUAUUUCCUACCUCUUUUUUCGGUGAAUUCAGAGGAAUGCUAUCUUGUGUUGUCCGUAGUUGGCACAGGGGUGUUACCUGAUAGGAAAGAAAAAGACGAUCUGUCAUGGAGAAUUCUCAUCAUCAAUAUCUGUGAAAUGAAUGAAAGUGGCAUGAUACUCUCAGAAGCUUUUCUUGAUCUCCCAAAGUGAGAUCGACUUCAGAUGUCUUUCCUCUUUUUUUUUUUUUUUUCUUUUUGCCAUUUCUUGGGCUGCUAGCAUGGCAUAUGGAGGUUCCCAGGCUAGGGGUGGAAUCAGAGCUGUAGCCACCGACCUACACCACAGCCACAGCAAUGUGGGAUCCGAGCCGCGUCUGCAACCUACACCAUAGCUCAGGGCAACGCCGGAUCCCCAACCCACUGAGCAAGGCCAGGGAUCGAACCCGCAACCUCAUGGUUCUUAGUUGGAUUCGUUAACCACUGAGCCACGAUGGGGACUCCUCCUCAUUUUGAUUCAUGCAAUUUUCUAUUACAGAAUUUAUUAUAUUUUUAUCAUAGUCACUGAACUUACUUUUAUGUCUCAAAUAAUAUUCUGGGUUCUUUGGGUCAGGGACUACAGUGGAUGACAAAGUCAUGAGAUGGUAAGAGUGGGGGCAGAGAAAACUGGAAGCAAUCUAGACACUUAGUUAAUAGAAUUAGCAUGACUCAGUGAACAAUUAGAUAUAGAGAGAAAAAAUCUAGAAUUCUGUGGUUUUUGACCUUCAGUGACUAUCAAUGAAAUGGUAAAUUUGGGAAGACAACCAAAUUUGCAGUGAUAUAAAUAAUCAAUUCAAUUAGGAGCAAUAAUGGGUUUGAAAUGUCUAUUAGGUAUUGGCUCUUUGAGUUUAAAAUUCAGUAGAGAAAUCUAAACUGGAAUUUAAUAUUCAUCCAAAGUACAGCUGAUAGCUGAAGCCAUAAAAUUAGAAAAGGUCACUCAGGGAGCAGUUAGUAUGAAAUUAGAACCACAGAUGAACCUUGAAUAUUUCACCAUUUAAAGGAGAGGAAAGAAAUGAUACAGAGCAGGAGACUUUAUUGGAGAAGGCACUAAUACAUGCAACAAUUUUUUAAAAAAUCCUGAAAUCAGAUACAUAUUGAUGGAAAUUGACUUAUAUUAGUACAAAGUUAGUUUUAUCCAGUUGGAAUUCCAGUCUCUCUGUGUGGCUGGAAAAAGAUGGUAGAGUAUCUGUGAGCAGUAUUAAUAACUAUAAGAGUUCCUUCUUCUAUUUACCAAAUUUCCACUCUCAUUUCCAAACAGAAAUCCCUCUCACCUUUGUCCAAGACAGAUAGUCCAAAGUCCCAUCUAGCCAUUCCAUCAAUUUCCGUAAUCAAGAUCUGUUAAUAUCCUUUUAUCAGAUAUGGUGGACUGUACGUAAUCUUUAGAUAGUCCCUUUUGUGGAUCCUCUUGAGAAUUAUGAACAAAAAGACCAGGUAUCUGUUUCACACACUCAAUUUAGAAUGGAUAAAUAGGGUCAGGAUAAUGAUAACAAUUACACACAGAAAUGAGAAGAACGGGAGACACAUAGUAGUAAUAUCAAUUCUAAUAUCCUGCUUAGCAGACAUUGGUGAAGGCCUCCCACCCUGGGAGAGCGGAAUGUUUUUAUGACCGGGCUCAACUCUGCUCCCUGGGAGAGAUGGUUCUCAAUACCAUACUCUAGGUGGGUUUUCCUCUCUCGUCAUCCUUCAUUUCUGUAUCUGAGUUGAUUAUUGUAGACUAUAUCCUCCUUGAGAACUGAACUUCUCUCUGCCUACUGAAGACUGAAGAUCUGGUCACUGCUUUAGUCCCCUCAAAGUCACAAUCUUUUCGUUUAGGCUAGUGUUUCUUUUGGAAGAAUGACUCUCUAAAACACAUAGUUGGCUUAUUUCCUUUAUGCCAGUCAUCUCUAUGUGUCUACAAUCUGUUCUUUUAUGGACAUACCUAUUAAAUUUGCAGUAUUUUCUUGCAUUCUCUCCUUCACCAUUUCCUGAACUUUCUCUCUCAUAUUCUCAAAAUAAUUGCAGUUACUUUGUUCUGUUAAGCUUUCAGGGAAGAGACAUAGGUUUUCUCUCUUUUGUCUAUAUGAAGAGAUUUACCAUGCACUACCUUAGCUUUUCAAGUAUUUUAUGGAUAAGUAAAAGAGCAAACACUGGACCCUGCCUCUAAGCCGACUUUUAAAAAUGAUUCAGUUUUAUAGUUUCCUGUUCGGCCUUGAGAUAUAGUUGCAUUUUCUGAAUCUUCAAGUACCUAAAAUUUCCCCUUUUUUUUCUACCUGGAAAUGUUCAGUUCUUUUUGAAAUCAUCUCUUUAAGAGCCAAUAAAAUUCAUCUAAUGCUGCUUAGCACAUAAUACUAACAUUUUGUUUUCCAACCUCUUCUCAUAGAUCACCAUCAUUUGCCUUUCAAAUUAUAAUGGGAAACUAAUUUAUAAUAAUUUCACAAUAGCAUAAACUGGAUCACUUUUCUUCCAGAUUUAAUAUCUCUUUCCUUGUCACCCACAGUAGGGCCACUAAGCCAAUGACAUAAAAAUGUUUCUGUUGACAACUCUACAUCUGUCUUGUAAUUUCUGUAUCAGUCAUAUCCUCCCUGACUAUGCUAAUUGCUUUUUUCAAUCAGAAAACGUGAGUUUAUUUUGAAUAAUCCCCUGAAAUUUGAGAAAAGGGCCUGGCCUCAAUUAUCUUUUUCUUUGAAGCUGUAAACUAGAAAUAUACAAAAUUCCAUACUAAAAAAUAUCUCAAAAAUUUCAGCAAUUUAAAAAAAUAAUGACUCACAUUAAGGAUAACUAAUCCUAGGUGAAGUCAAGUGGUUUCUCACUUAUGCUCUAAAUAAAACUGAAGGAGGAACAAAUUAAGUUACCAGUGAUAAAUCAUUAUAAAUGAUGUUUCAUGAUAGGCCAGUAUAUAUAUUGCAGGAUAAAUUCAAAAGUACUUCAUGAAGUGAGAUUUGUAGAAAUAAACCUACCUUUUAGAUGAGAACAUGACUUCAGAGAGAGGGACAAAUCCAAUCUGGGUGCACCGUGAACUGUGAGUAAGUUGUUGCACAAAGCUGGUGCAACUGUUCGGGUUCUCCUUGAAAGCUGUCUCUCUGUGCUCGAAGGUGCGUGCCAAUUUAGAUGCUCUGAAACACUAUCAAUCAGUAACUUUAUUUAUUCUUGGAAGAAUGUUCACAAAUUGAACUUUGAAUAAAUUGAAAAUUUUCUUUAUUGAGAACCAGGAAUUAUCUUCAUGACCUUCUACUGUUUGCCUUUUACAUUCUAAAACACAUGGAUGCUACUAAUAUUUUAAGGCUUUUUGAAAAUACUCUGAUUUGUAGACACACAGAUGAGAAUUUUUAUAUAAUCUCCAGUCUUCUUCCCAUUUCAUUUGCACUUCUGCACUGCGCUUGAAUAAAAAUAUAAGAUAUGUGAUGAUCGAUAGUGUCAUUACAUGAGAUAACGUAAAUCUAGCUCCUUGAUGAGGUAAUCUGGUAGCAAAAGAAGUACUUUUUUGGGAAAAGUCACUUGAAAUUAGCACUGUACAUGAUGAUAUUGGUUAUUAUGUGUAUUUAAUGCAUGCCAGGCAAUUACCAAUAUUCAAAUACCAUUUUUGAGACAUGUUUGUGAGUCACUUAAGGAAGACACCUUACUUUUUAUAGUCAUGUAAAUUUCAUAGUCAUUACCCUUUUUUGCUUUUUAUCAUCAGCAGCUUUCUUUACACGCACAAUAGUCUCAUGAGAUGUAAGGGACAAUUCCUUACAUUAUAGAUCUGAGUGGUGGCAAAGUUGAAGCAUAAUGAAGUUCCAUAGACAAUCCAAGGCUACAUAGAUGCUUGGAAGAAAAUGUUGUCCUCUUAUUUGUUCUUCAUAAUUGAUUAAGCUUUUUUUAGAUAUAAGAUUACUCACAAGUUCAAAUAGAGCUAUAAAAAUGAAAUAUAUGCAAAAAACAUAUACGUAUAUAAAUAUGUUCACAUGUAUCACACGUCUUUUAUUUUUUUUUUAAAUCUUUUUAUACCUGCGGCACAUGGAAGCUUCUGUGCUGGGGUCAAAUCAGAGCUGCAGCAGCUGGCCUACUCUACCAGUCACAGCAACGCAGGAUCUGUGACCUAUGCCACACCUUGCAGCAAUGCCAGAUCCUUAACCCACUGAGCAGGGCCAGUGAUUGAACCCACAUCCUCGCAGAGACUAUGCUGGGUUCUUAACCCUCUGAGCCACAAAAUUCUUAGUGUUUAAACUACUCCCCUUUAUUUUAAACAGGGAUUCCACACAGGCAAAUAUUUUCAGGGACACUCUCUUCCACAAUUAAAGUAGAGUAACUGAGGAAAUUCUAAGGUGUUAUUAAAUAAUUAAUAUAAUCUUCUGUAGUAUUCUUUUUUUUUUUUCAUUUUUGUAACCUCAUGACUGUCUUCAAUGAUCCUCAUCUCCCAGUAUUCAUGUUCAGUGUUAUCUCACACCAGGUAAGGACUACCUGUGCAACUAAUCCAAUAUUGAAGAAGUGAGGGACCAUGACGUUCAAAUCUAGGUCCUAGCAAACCCUGCAGUUUUUGUCUUGCUCUGAGAUUAUUUGCUCUGGGAAGCCAGGAGCAAAUAAUAUAUAUAGUGAGGGCUUGCAACUUAUCACUAUGGAGCGGGUCAAGUGGUUGAAGGUCUCUAGACAGAACUGAAGCCUCCUUUCAAAAGACAUUGAGUGGGUUAUCUUGGAAGGAAAACUUGCUCACAUGUAGCCUUCAGAUAACUUCAGCCCAAUCCACAUGUUAACAGCAAUCCCCUAAGAGAUGCUAAG